GGGAAUGUGGCUUAGUGGUAGAGCAAGUGCCUAGCAUGCAUGAAGCCCUGGGUUCAAUUCCUCAGUGCCA
rnacentral:tRNA from 1 species